AAACCAACCGGGAUUGCCUUAGUAACGGCGAGUGAAGCGGCAAAAGCUCAAAUUUGAAAUCUGGUACCUUCGGUGCCCGAGUUGUAAUUUGGAGAGGGCAACUUUGGGGCCGUUCCUUGUCUAUGUUCCUUGGAACAGGACGUCAUAGAGGGUGAGAAUCCCGUGUGGCGAGGAGUGCGGUUCUUUGUAAAGUGCCUUCGAAGAGUCGAGUUGUUUGGGAAUGCAGCUCUAAGUGGGUGGUAAAUUCCAUCUAAAGCUAAAUAUUGGCGAGAGACCGAUAGCGAACAAGUACAGUGAUGGAAAGAUGAAAAGAACUUUGAAAAGAGAGUGAAAAAGUACGUGAAAUUGUUGAAAGGGAAGGGCAUUUGAUCAGACAUGGUGUUUUGUGCCCUCUGCUCCUUGUGGGUAGGGGAAUCUCGCAUUUCACUGGGCCAGCAUCAGUUUUGGUGGCAGGAUAAAUCCAUAGGAAUGUAGCUUGCCUCGGUAAGUAUUAUAGCCUGUGGGAAUACUGCCAGCUGGGACUGAGGACUGCGACGUAAGUCAAGGAUGCUGGCAUAAUGGUUAUAUGCCGCCCGUCUUGAAACA
rnacentral:rRNA from 1 species